AACAGGGAGGACUAGUGGUUAGGCCACAGCGCUCUCUUGGCUGUGGCCCGGGUUCAAUUCCCAGCCAGGGAA